UGACCCCGCGGGGUCUGUUUCCCCGGGAGGAGUUGGCUGCGUUUGGAGAUCCCUGGGCCUAGUAUUCGUCGCGUCCCCCUGCUUGUUGCUCUCCACGUUUAGCCCCAUCCGACUUCUGGAAGCCGAGGGAGAGCACCAGAUUCUCAAAACAACACAGGCUUUGGAGCCACAUGUGGGUUUGAAUCUCAACUCUACCUGUCUGAGUGACCCUGGGCAAGUCACUUCACUUCCCUGAGACUCAAGUUUCAUCAAGAUGGGAACAAUGAGCAUCUGCCUCACAGGCUUGUCGUGAGGAUUAAGUGAGAAGGUGCAGCUGCAAAGACAUCAAACUGGACCCAUCGAGGAUUUCGGAUUCAGCCAUCAUGGGGCUGCUGCCGGGGAAGCCACUGCCCCUCCUUUCUCCUCAGCACUGGGGUUAUAAAAAAAUACCUACAAACCA
rnacentral:antisense_RNA from 1 species